rnacentral:sRNA from 1 species
AGCUGUUGCAGAACACGGACCUCCAGC